rnacentral:rRNA from 1 species
UACGUAUGGGGCAAGCGUUGUCCGGAAUUACUGGGCGUAAAGAGCUCGUAGGUGGUUUGUCGCGUUGUUCGUGAAAACUCACAGCUCAACUGUGGGCGUGCGGGCGAUACGGGCAGACUUGAGUACUGCAGGGGAGACUGGAAUUCCUGGUGUAGCGGUGGAAUGCGCAGAUAUCAGGAGGAACACCGGUGGCGAAGGCGGGUCUCUGGGCAGUAACUGACGCUGAGGAGCGAAAGCGUGGGGAGCGAACAGG